rnacentral:rRNA from 1 species
ACGGGCCGCGCCUGAAACCUAGUGAAGGCGCCCCUAAAGGCGGACGGGUGAGUAACGCGUGGGCAACCUGCCGCGCACAGGGGGACAACGGCCGGAAACGGCCGCUACUACCGCAUAGUCCCGCGGGGCCGCAUGGCCCUGCGGGGAAAGCCCGGGGCGACCCGGACGGUGCGCGAUGGGCCCGCGUCCGAUUAGCUUGUUGGCGGGGCAGCGGCCCACCAAGGCGACGAUCGGUAGCCGGCCUGAGAGGGCGGACGGCCACACUGGGACUGAGACACGGCCCAGACUCCUGCGGGAGGCAGCAGUGGGGAAUAUUGCACAAUGGGGGGAACUUUUUUGCAGCGACGCCGCGUGGGUGAAGGAGCACCUCGGUGCGUAAAGCCCUAUCGGCAUGGAAGAAACAGACGGUACCUGACUAAGAAGCCCCGGCUAACUACGUGCCAGCAGCCGCGGUAAUACGUAGGGGGCAAGCGUUAUCCGGAUUCACUGGGUGUAAAGGGAGCGUAGACGGUGACGCAAGUCUGGAGUGAAAGCCCGUGGCCCAACCCCGGGACUGCUCUGGAAACUGCGGCGCUGGAGUACGGGAGGGGCAGGCGGAAUUCCUGGUGUAGCGGUGAAAUGCG